AACGCAUCUUGCGCCUUUUGGUAUUCCAAAAGGCACACCUGUUUGAGUGUCAUGAAACCCUCUCAUUAAACAUUUUUUAACUUGUUUAAACUUGUUUAGUGGAUGUUGAGUGUUGCUGUCAUUAGCUCACUUUAAAUAUAUAAGUCACUUUUCAAAUAAGUUGGAUUGACUUGGUGUAAUAAUUUUAUCAUCACAUCAAGGAAAGUAGCAAUACUUGCCAUCUUGUUUAAUAUAAGGGACUUCUAAAAACCCCCCUUUUUUCAAAAUUUAAGACCUCAAAUCAGGUGGGACUACCCGCUGAACUUAA
rnacentral:misc_RNA from 2 species